rnacentral:rRNA from 1 species
UACGGAGGGGGGCUAGCGUUGUUCGGAAUUACUGGGCGUAAAGGGCUCGUAGGUGGCCAACUAAGUCAGACGUGAAAUCCCUCGGCUUAACCGGGGAACUGCGUCUGAUACUGGAUGGCUUGAGUUCGGGAGAGGGAUGCGGAAUUCCAGGUGUAGCGGUGAAAUGCGUAGAUAUCUGGAGGAACACCGGGUGGCGAAGGCGGCAUCCUGGACCGACACUGACACUGAGGAGCAGAAAGCCAGGGGGAGCAAAACGGGG